rnacentral:misc_RNA from 1 species
UUUCCGUAGGUGAACCUGCGGAAGGAUCAUUAUUGUAUAACCGAGGUGCGAGGGCUGUCGCUGACCCGAAAGGUCGUGCACGCCCGAGUGCCCUCACACACAUCCAUCUCACCCCUAUGUGCACCACCGCGUGGGUCCCCCUUUGGCUUGUUCGGAGGGGGGCUUACGUUUUCACACAAACUUUGUAUGCAGUGUAGAAUGUAUUUUUAGUUUUUGCGAUCACGCAAUCAAUACAACUUUCAACAACGGAUCUCUUGGUUCUGACAUCGAUGAAGAACGCAGC